CCUAGGGGUUGGGGAAGAACAGACCAGCCCCUGCCAGGGGCAGUCACUGCUCAGGACGGGCGUUCUGGAAGGACAUGUGCCUUGGCCCUACACACGCACACCCUUUGUUCUACUCAUCUGGCUCCUGCAAACUGACCUCAAGGAGCCUUUCCUGGAUAAGGGACACUUCAUCCACCCUACAUAGCCUGCUGCUACUUCUCAGGAGACUGAGCCAGAUUCAGAUGCUAAAUAGCAAGGACCUUGUCUCACUCUUGGAGGUCCUUCCCCCACGGUCAUCUCAGAUCUGCCAGCCCUAGGUGUGCAUCCCCUGGACCUGGGAAGCCCAGUUGGAAAGCAGAGCAAGCGUGGAUGCACAGAGGUCCCUGAGAGCAGCCCUAGAGAGGGGCUCUCUCCCACAGAGCCGCAUUGCUGGUUCAGCAGGGCUAAAAGGGGCAGGAGGAAGGUCAGCGUGGGAGACGGGGCAAGGCCUGAGCUCCUGGGACUUCAUGGAACGGUGCUCUAGGGAUGGGAGCCAGGCCGGGCCACAGAGCCAGCAGCCUCAGGUGACCCCAACUGGCCCUGCCUGCCCGAGACAGGAGCCAAGGACACGCUGCACAGUCCAGCCCCAGAUGCUGAGCAAGGCCAUGGUCUCAUGGCAUCCGGUUCCUUUACACAUCACCCUCAGCCUUUAGUCUUCGUGUAAGGGAGAAGGAAAACAGUGGACAUGGAUCCCUGUUCUCCAUUAAUGGCUCACCUAGUUACCUCAGCCUGAUAGGCCAGGGGCUGGACACCACUGCAAUGCUUAAUGGAUCACCAAUACGUUAAUAAACAAUGUUUGACACAGAACGAUUCAUUCCAUAAGUAUGAAAUUUAACUUUCUAGCAGCUGUAACAAUAUUGUUGAGUGGGGGCUAUUAUAACUCUUCCGUGGGGGAGGCUGAGGCCCUGGGAAGGUAUAGCUGGACCUGGGUGAGGCAGGUUGGCAUUGGAAUCAAGAAAUUCCAGCCGCGAACCUGGGCUCACUCAGCACAACGUCUCUCUCAAAACUGGUGUAAGCAUGGGAAGUCCUCUUCCUCAGGUUGGUUUCAACAUGAUAUUCGCUUCUUUUUGUUAAUUAUAGAAAAAUUUUGGAGGUGUGAAAUAAAGGGAAAAAC